rnacentral:ncRNA from 1 species
UAAAAGUUUUAUUCUAGCUUAGGAUUUAGGUUUAUUUUUUUUUUACAUGCAAAAUUAAUUUGGUUUAAAUAACUUGUUAAGCAGUUUUUUAUUUUAAGUAUAAAUUUACUUUGGACUUAGGAAUAAAUAUAAGUUUUAAUGAAAUUUGUGCCAGCAAUUGCGGUUAUACAAAUAGUGCAAUCUAAAUUUUUUGGUUAAUAAUUAAUUGAUAUUAGUUAAAGUUUAAUAUUAGAUUUAUUGGGUGGAAUUUUAUAUUUAAUAAAAAUUUUUUCUUUGAUUAUGAGGUUAUUAAAAUUUUCUUUAAACUAGGAUUAGAUACCCUAUUAUUUAAAUUGUAAAUUCUUGUACCUGAUUAUUAAUAGUUUAUUUUCUUGAAAGUUAAAGAUUUUGGCGGUAUUUUAGUCCAUUCAGAGGAACCUGUCCUGUAAUUGAUAAUCCACGAUUUAAUUUACUUGUUUUUUUAGUUUGUAUAUCGUCGUGGUUUGAAUAUUUUAUAAGAAUUAUAAUAUUCAAUAAAUAUUAAUUUAUUUUAUAUCAGAUCAAGGUGCAGCUUAUGAAUAAGAAGAGAUGGGUUAUAAUAAAUUUAUUUUUGGUUUAUAAACUUAAAUGUUUGUAAUAAUUUGGAUUUGAAUGUAAUAUUUUUAAAUUUAUAGAUGUGAUUUUGGCUCUAAAAUAUGUACAUAUUGCCCGUCGCUCUCGUUUAAUACGAGAUAAGUCGUAACAAAGUAGAUGUACUGGAAAGUGUAUCUAGAAAGAU